ACUCAUACCCCGAAGGCCGCGCUCUUGCAGUGUGCGCUGGACGGGUGCUUUUAUUAGACCAAACCGCUGAGGGCGCGUUAGCCUCCCGGGGCGCGCGCUUGACUCGCAUGAUGGUGACUCUGGAUAACCUUUGACAAGCGCACGUACCACUCGUAUGAGCGGACGGCGCUGCCACUAUCGAGUGUCUGCCUUAUCAGCUAUCAACCGUUCGUUACGUGCGACCGAUGGCUUUGACGGGUAACGGGGAAUCAGGGUUCGAUUCCGGAGAGGCAGCCUGAGAGACGGCUACCACGUCCAAGGACGGCAGCAGGCGCGCAAAUUACCCAAUCCCAGCUUCUGGGGGAGGUAGUGACGAAAUCUAACGAUGCGGGCGCCCUUUCUAGGGCCCCG
rnacentral:rRNA from 1 species